rnacentral:rRNA from 1 species
GUAUGCAAGUCGAACGAUUUUGUAGCAAUACAAAGUAGUGGCAGACGGGUGAGGAAUACGCAAGAAUCUACCCUUUACUCGCGAAUAACUGACCGAAAGGUUGGCUAAUACGCGAUGAGGCCCACGGGUCAAAGGACUUAACGGUCCGGUGGAGGAGGAGCUUGCGUCCUAUCAGCUAGUUGGCGGGGUAAUAGCCCACCAAGGCUCUGACGGGUAUCUGGAGUGAGAGGUCGGCCAGACACAGGGGCACUGAGACACGGGCUCCACACCUACGGGUGGCAGCAACCAGGAAUAUUGGGCAAUGGACGAAAGUCUGACCCAGCGACACCGCGUGGAGGAUGAAGGCUCUAGGGUUGUAAACUCCUUUUAAUUCCCUCUUCACGGGGAAUAGAAUAAGCCUCUACUAACUACGUGCCAGAAGUCUCGGUAAUGCGUAGGAGGCAAGCGUUAUCCGGAAUUAUUGGGCGUAAAGGGUGCGUAGGCGGUCUUUCAAGUCGCAACUUAAAUGCUAUGGCUUAACCAUAGAACAGGUUGCGAUACUGAUUGACUCUGAGGAUUGUUCGGGGCAUCGGGAACAGUUGGUGUAGUGGUGAAAUACGUUGAUAUCAACUGGAACACCGAAGGCGAAGGCAGAUGCCUGGAAUUUUCCUGACGCUGANGCACGAAAGCUAGGGUAGCGAAACAGAUUAGAGACCCUGUGUAGUCCUAGCUGUAAACAAUCUCCGCUAGAUUCGGAUCGCAAGACCCGAGUCGAAGUUAACACAUUUAAGCGGAGCGCCUGGGGAGUACGGCCGCAGGCUAAAACUCAAAUGAAUUGACGGAAAUCACUA